AUGGCUGGCUUGGAAGGUUUCAAGUUCUUCGAGAUCGUAAUUGAGAAAUCUUGCAGUAGGCAGAGGCUGCCCGAAAAGUUUGAGAAGAUGCUCGCCAGCCGUGAGCACCAAAAAGCGAAGCUGCGGGAGGCCAGCAGCGGGCUUCGCAGGCUGUGGGACGUGUUGGUGGUGUUCGACGUCAAAGGCCACAUGUACCUAGGGCCCGGCUGGGAUCAUUUUGCUCACGCCCAUGAGCUGCAGCUCAGGCACUUCCUUGUAUUCCGCUACGACGGCAGCGCCAUGUUCACCGUUAAGAAGUUCGACAACACCAUGAGCCGCAUGUACUACCAGCACGACGACGAUUCUAGCAAUGGGAGCAGCAGCGGGGAUGACGAGGAGCAGAGUGGGCAAGAAGAGGAGCAGAGCAGGGAAGAAGAGGAGCAGAUCGGGGAUGACGAGGAGCAGAGCGGGGAAGAAGAGGAGCAGAGCGGGGAUGACGAGGAGUAG
rnacentral:rRNA from 1 species